rnacentral:rRNA from 1 species
UGGGGAAUAUUGCGCAAUGGGGGAAACCCUGACGCAGCAACGCCGCGUGAAGGAUGAAGGCUUUCGGGUUGUAAACUUCUUUGAUGAGGGACGAAAGAAAUGACGGUACCCCAAAAACAAGCCACGGCUAACUACGUGCCAGCAGCCGCGGUAAUACGUAGGUGGCGAGCGUUGUCCGGAAUUACUGGGUGUAAAGGGCGUGUAGGCGGGGAUGCAAGUCAGAUGUGAAAUGCCGGGGCUUAACUCCGGAGCUGCAUCUGAAACUGUGUUUCUUGAGUGUCGGAGAGGAAAGCGGAAUUCCCAGUGUAGCGGUGAAAUGCGUAGAUAUUGGGAGGAACACCAGUGGCGAAGGCGGCUUUCUGGACGAUAACUGACGCUGAGGCGCGAAAGCGUGGGGAGCAAACAGGAUUAGAUACCCUGGUAGUCCACGCUGUAAACGAUGGAU